rnacentral:rRNA from 1 species
AUUGAACGCUAGCGGCAUGCCUUACACAUGCAAGUCGAACGGCAGCACGGGAGCAAUCCUGGUGGCGAGUGGCGAACGGGUGAGUAAUAUAUCGGAACGUGCCCAGUCGUGGGGGAUAACGCAGCGAAAGCUGUGCUAAUACCGCAUACGAUCUACGGAUGAAAGCGGGGGAUCGCAAGACCUCGCGCGAUUGGAGCGGCCGAUAUCAGAUUAGCUAGUUGGUGGGGUAAAGGCCCACCAAGGCGACGAUCUGUAGCUGGUCUGAGAGGACGACCAGCCACACUGGAACUGAGACACGGUCCAGACUCCUACGGGAGGCAGCAGUGGGGAAUUUUGGACAAUGGGCGCAAGCCUGAUCCAGCAAUGCCGCGCGCAGGAUGAAGGCCUUCGGGUUGUAAACUGCUUUUGUACGGAACGAAACGGCCCUUUCUAAUACAGGGGGCUAAUGACGGUACCGUAAGAAUAAGCACCGGCUAACUACGUGCCAGCCGCCGCCGUAA